UACAGAGGUCCCAAGCGUUGUUCGGAUUCACUGGGCGUAAAGGGUGCGUAGGCGGUCAGGUAAGUCUGAUGUGAAAUCCCGCAGCUUAACUGCGGAACUGCAUCGGAUACUAUCUGGCUUGAGGAAUGGAGGGGAGACUGGAAUUCUCGGUGUAGCAGUGAAAUGCGUAGAUAUCGAGAGGAACACCAGUGGCGAAGGCGAGUCUCUGGACAUUUCCUGACGCUGAGGCACGAAAGCCAGGGGAGCAAACGGG
rnacentral:rRNA from 1 species